AGUGAACGCUGGCGGUAGGCCUAACACAUGCAAGUCGAACGGCAGCACAGUAGGAGCUUGCUCUUACGGGUGGCGAGUGGCGGACGGGUGAGGAAUACAUCGGAAUCUACUUUUUCGUGGGGGAUAACGUAGGGAAACUUACGCUAAUACCGCAUACGACCUACGGGUGAAAGCAGGGGAUCUUCGGACCUUGCGCGAUUGAAUGAGCCGAUGUCGGAUUAGCUAGUUGGCGGGGUAAAGGCCCACCAAGGCGACGAUCCGUAGCUGGUCUGAGAGGAUGAUCAGCCACACUGGAACCGAGACACGGUCCAGACUCCUACGGGAGGCAGCAGUGGGGAAUAUUGGACAAUGGGCGCAAGCCUGAUCCAGCCAUACCGCGUGGGUGAAGAAGGCCUUCGGGUUGUAAAGCCCUUUUGUUGGGAAAGAAAAGCAGCAGGUUAAUACCCCGCUGUUCUGACGGUACCCAAAGAAUAAGCACCGGCUAACUUCGUG
rnacentral:rRNA from 1 species